rnacentral:rRNA from 1 species
GAGAUUUUCGCAAUGCCCGAAAGGGUGACGAAGCGACGCCGCGUGCGGGAAGAAGGCCUUCGGGUUGUAAACCGCUGUCGGGAGUUAAGAAAUGUAAGGAUGUUAAUAGCAUCUUUGCUUGACUAAGGCUCCGGAGGAAGCCACGGCUAACUCCGUGCCAGCAGCCGCGGUAAUACAGAGGCGGCAAGCGUUGUUCGGAAUUAUUGGGCGUAAAGAGCACGUAGGCGGCUAUGUAAGUCGGUUGUGAAAGCCUUCCGCUCAACGGGAGAACAGCAUCCGAUACUGCAUGGCUUGAGUGCGGGAGGGGAGAGUGGAACUUCUGGUGGAGCGGUGAAAUGCGUAGAUAUCAGAAGGAACGCCGGCGGCGAAAGCGGCUCUCUGGGCCAUAACUGACGCUGAGUGUGCGAAAGCUAGGGGAGCAAACGGGAUUAGAUACCCCGGUAGUCCUAGCCGUAAACGAUGGGCACUAAGUAGAGGGGUUUUA